rnacentral:rRNA from 1 species
GACGAACGCUGGCGGCGUGCUUAAUACAUGCAAGUCGAACGGAAAGGCCCUGCUUUUGUGGGGUGCUCGAGUGGCGAACGGGUGAGUAACACGUGAGUAACCUGCCCUUGACUUUGGGAUAACUUCAGGAAACUGGGGCUAAUACCGGAUAGGAGCUCCUGCUGCAUGGUGGGGGUUGGAAAGUUUCGGCGGUUGGGGAUGGAAUCGCGGCUUAUCAGCUUGUUGGUGGGGUAGUGGCUUACCAAGGGUUUGACGGGUAGCCGGCCUGAGAGGGUGACCGGCCACAUGGGGACUGAGAUACGGACCAGAAUCCUACGGGAGGCAGCAGUGGGGAAUAUUGCACAAUAGGCGGAAGCCUGAUGCAGCAACGCCGCGUGCGGAAUGACGGCCUUCGGGUUGUAAACCGCUUUCGCCGGUGACGAAGCGUGAGUGACGGUAAUGGGUAAAGAAGCACCGGCUAACUACGUG